rnacentral:rRNA from 1 species
GAUGAACGCUGGCGGCGUGCCUAAUACAUGCAAGUCGAGCGAAAAGACGAGGAGCUUUUGCCUUUGACGGUAGCGGCGGACGGGCGGGUAACACGUGGAUAACAUACCUAUAUGACUGGGAGGAUUUCGGGAAACCGGUGCCAAUAAUGGAUAAUAUAUUGAACCGCAUGAUGCAAUAGUGAAAGACGGUUUUGCUGUCUCUUAUAGAUGGUUCCGGGCCGGAUUAGCUAGUUGGUAAGGUAACGGCUUACCAAGGCAACGAUGCGUAGCCGAUCUGAGAGGGUGAUCGGCCACACUGGAACUGAGACACGGUCCAGACUCCUACGGGAGGCAGCAGUAGGGAAUCUUCCGCAAUGGGCGAAAGCUUGACCGAGCAACACCGCGUGAGUGAUGAAGGUCUUCGGAUCGUAAAGCUCUUUUAUUAGGGAAGAAAAGAUGUAUAAGUAACUAUGCACGUCUUGACGGUACCUAAUCAAAAAGCCACGGCUAACUACGUG